rnacentral:lncRNA from 1 species
UGGGAGAGCUCAAAAAAUUCCCCCCAAAAAGCUCUCCUCAGUUUCAGAUCUAGUUUGAAAUAAAUCAUUCAAAAAAAAAAAAUCCAAAAAAGUUACUGUUACAUUAGUGCUCCUUUAGCCAUUUUCAGAUUUCAACAUUUAAUUCAAGUCUCUAGCUCAUUUAGGAUGAAAGUUACUUGAAUCUCCUUGUUAUGUUCGAUAUCUGGAAUUUUUAAGAAAUUUGGGUCCUCUAGGUAUUGGAUUUGGCUAAUUUGUGCCAACUAUGGUCCAUCUGCUGAUUGUUGAUUUCCUAUGUUCAUUUCUGGGCAUUUUGGUGUUGUUUUGGGGUUGAUAUAUUAGAGUUGUUUGGUUUAACGCAUUUCAGAGUCACUCUGGGUCAACGAGUAAUUUCUGGGUUGAACGGCUAUGUUUGUCGUUGUGUGAACAUCAAACUGUUGGUUGCUUGCGCCUCUGUUGCUAACUUCUCCUUCUGCUCGUUAUAUCUCCAGGUACCUCCCUCGACUUCAUAUGAACUGUGGAGGAUUCGUUGUAAAUCUGAUGUUGAAGAGUUGGAAAGGAUGAAUGCAGUUGAAUUAGACUUGAGUUUGCCUACUGUACUUCAUAUAUGUAGGGCAAUUUGUUUAAUGAAUAAUUUUGUAUAAAAUUGGACUCACAAAACUGUUCGUGUUGUGCCUAGCAUAGAGAUCAAUUAAUUUGUCUAGUUCGCUUAUGCUAACAAUGAGGUUCAUGGUAGUCUGAUUAUUAUGGAUCUUCAGCCUUGAUUAGUUAAUUUGAUAUCAUAAUAUAGUGGUUAAUCGUUUCAGUUG